CUCGUGCUGCAGAAGCGCGUUCACCUUGCCGUAGUUGUUCACUCGAGCCUUCACUGCAGUCGUAAGAUCCAUCAUGUGAUGCGCCCCAAAGGCUGACCAAGUGGAAGUAGGAUGCGGUGACACUCUGGCCCUUGUCGUUCCUGGAAAAAGAGCAUGGCUGUCAGGGACCCCUUGUAACAAGAUAUCCGAAUGAACAUUGGAACUCAAGAGGACAGAUGAGCCACAUUUCCGGAUUCAACGGUAUCUUUGGAUCGUGAUAUACGCACGAAAAGUUUAGUUUAGAACUGAAGACUCACACCAUCAAGGAUGCAAUGAGGUCAGUACUGAUGAGACUGAUCCCACCAUUCAAUUUGGUGAAAUUCCCAGUAGCAGUGUUGAAAGAAAUGUCUGCGCCAACGGUGGCCUGGUGAUUCCCGGCCACACCAGAGAAGUUGACAGUCGGUUUGGCAGUAAACCCGAGGCUUGUGCUGAUUCCAGCGUACUCAUGUAGAUAUUGAAGCUCCACCUGUCAUCACAAGUUACAAAAACCUUGAAUUCAGUCCGAUGGCACUGCAAUUCCCUCUGUGACAGCAAAAGAAAAUCGAAGAACGCUAUCAAUAUACUCCUACUAGUACGAACCUUGCCAGACUUCUGAUCUGGAGCAACAAAGCUAAAGAUCGCCUUUACACCGGGAGCAGGCUCGUCAACAGUAACAGUUGUGAACACCUACAAUGUUAAAAGAUGUAGGCCGAUAGUGACAAAUGUGAAUGAGAACUGUAUGUGACAUUUCAUGUUGUUCAUAGCCAUAAGCAUUCUUCAGCAAGAAAAAUCAAAGUGACUAACAUUGGAGCUGGUA